GACCAUACGUAAUAUACUAAAUACAUAAACAGGGAGAAGACAUAAGAAACAGGAGAAACGAACAUUACACGCCGAAAGAGAACGAGGGAAAGAGAAAAGACGAGGAUGGGUGAUGACGAUGAUGAUAAGAAAAAUGGAGAGAGAAGGAGAAUGAGAGAGAAAAAAAAAAGAAGAAGGAAGGGAAAUAACGCAACUAGCAAAAGAAAAACGACGCACCUUUGUCCUGCAUACCUGAGCGCGUUCAGCUGUUGCUUCUGGCGUCUCCGUUUGACUUUGCUCCCGCGAUUGCCGUUCGGCUUGUUGCGCUAAACGGAAUAAUAAUUAAAAAAAAAAAUUUAUAUAAAUAAACAAAUUUCAAGUAUUUUUUGUUAAAAAAAAAAUUCCGCUUCUAUUCGUUACGUUGGUCACGAGACACCAUCGAUUUAUGGGGAAUUCUUUGGUCAAAUAUGAAAAGCAGAUCGGUCCUACUUUUGGGGACUGGAAAUCGAACGAGUUGCCACGAAAUCUGGAAUUCGAAAAAACAAAACCGGCAACCCGAAAAUUGACGGACGAGAAUUUUUCUUUCACAGCUGAUUGGCGGCAUGGCUCUCGAUGUCGAGAUCUUGUGAAACGGAAAAAAUGGAGAACAUCCACAACAACAAUUGGAUUUUCGUAAUGAAACAAAACGAGUUGUUGCUGUCAAUUUUGUUUUUUUGUUUUUUUGAAAGUUUCCAGUUAGUUAUUACUCAGGUACGGUGACCACCAUCAGUCCGGUUUUCAAAACAAAAAACUCUGCUCGACUGUCCUCUUCUUCCUUUGAAUCAAUUUUUCGUUUACGUACGUAGUGCACAUCAAAAGGAAUUCUA